CGAACGCUGGCGGCGUGCCUAACACAUGCAAGUCGUACGAGAAAGCUCCCUUCGGGGAGUGAGUAGAGUGGCGCACGGGUGAGUAACGCGUGGGUAAUCUGCCCCCGAGCUUGGAAUAACCCCUCGAAAGGGGGGCUAAUACCGGAUAACAUCUCGAUCUCCUCGGAGGUUGAGAUCAAAGGUGGCCUCUGAUUUAAGCUACCACUUGGGGAGGAGCCCGCGUCCCAUUAGCUUGUUGGUGGGGUAAUGGCCCACCAAGGCUACGAUGGGUAGCCGGCCUGAGAGGGUGACCGGCCACACUGGAACUGAGACACGGUCCAGACUCCUACGGGAGGCAGCAGUGGGGAAUUUUGCGCAAUGGGCGAAAGCCUGACGCAGUGACGCCGCGUGGACGAUGAAGGCCUUCGGGUCGUAAAGUCCUGUCAAGUGGGAAGAAGUGCAUGGUAUUUAAUACAUGCCAUGUUUGACGGUACCACUAGAGGAAGCCCCGGCCAACUCC
rnacentral:rRNA from 1 species